AUUUAAGUAGUUUAAAUAAAACAUUGAUUUGUGGAAUCAAAAAUAUAUAAUUAUCUUAGAUA
rnacentral:tRNA from 1 species